rnacentral:rRNA from 1 species
GACGAACGCUGGCGGCGUGCUUAACACAUGCAAGUCGAACGGAAAGGCCCUGCUUUUGUGGGGUGCUCGAGUGGCGAACGGGUGAGUAACACGUGAGUAACCUGCCCUUGACUUUGGGAUAACUUCAGGAAACUGGGGCUAAUACCGGAUAGGAGCUCCUGCUGCAUGGUGGGGGUUGGAAAGUUUCGGCGGUUGGGGAUGGACUUGCGGCUUAUCCGCUUGUUGGUGGGGUAGGGGCCUACCAGGGCUUUCACGGGUAGCCGGCCGGAGAGGGUGACCGGCCAGAUGGGGACUGGAAGACGGCCGAGACUCCUACGGGAGGCAGCAGUGGGGAAUAUUGCACAAUGGGCGGAAGCCUGAUGCAGCAACGCCGCGUGCGGGAUGACGGCCUUCGGGUUGUAAACCGCUUUCGCCUGUGACGAAGCGUGAGUGACGGUAAUGGGUAAAGAAGCACCGGCUAACUACGUG